rnacentral:rRNA from 1 species
AUACGUAGGUGACAAGCGUUAUCCGGAUUUACUGGGCGUAAAGGGCGUGUAGGCGGUCUUGCAAGUCAGAAGUGAAAUUCCUGAGCUCAACUCGGGCGCUGCUUCUGAAACUGCAGGACUUGAGUGCUGGAGGGGAUAGCGGAAUUCCUAGUGGAGCGGUAAAAUGCGCAGAUAUUAGGAAGAACACCGGUGGCGAAGGCGGCUAUCUGGACAGUAACUGACGCUGAGGCGCGUAAGCGUGGGGAGCAAACAGGAUUAGAUACCCUGGUAGUCCACACUGUAAACGAUGAAUGCUAGGUGUAAGAGGUAUCGACCCCUUUUGUGCCGGAGUUAACACAAUAAGCAUUCCGCCUGGGGAGUACGGCCGCAAGGUUGAAACUCAAAUGAAUUGGCGGGG